AUCCUCGAUCUGCUGCGGACAGAUAAAGUGGAUAUGCGCGUCAAAGCCCCCUGCCGUCAGGAUUUUUCCUUCCCCUGCAAUGGCUUCCGUGCCGGGACCUAUGACGAUGUCCACCCCCGGCUGGGUGUCAGGAUUGCCGGCCUUGCCGAUCUUCGCGAUGCGCCCGUCACGCAGCCCCACAUCGGCCUUGUAGAUCCCCGCAUGAUCGACGAUCAGCGCGUUGGUGAUUACCGUAUCCACGGCCCCCUCGGCCCGGCUUGCCUGGCUUUGCCCCAUGCCGUCGCGGAU
rnacentral:sRNA from 1 species